AUUGAACGCUGGCGGCAUGCCUUACACAUGCAAGUCGAACGGCAGCACGGGAGCAAUCCUGGUGGCGAGUGGCGAACGGGUGAGUAAAGUAUCGGAACGUGCCCAGUCGUGGGGGAUAACGUAGCGAAAGUUACGCUAAUACCGCAUACGAUCUAUGGAUGAAAGCGGGGGAUCGCAAGACCUCGCGCGAUCGGAGCGGCCGAUAUCAGAUUAGGUAGUUGGUGGGGUAAAGGCUCACCAAGCCGACGAUCUGUAGCUGGUCUGAGAGGACGACCAGCCACACUGGGACUGAGACACGGCCCAGACUCCUACGGGAGGCAGCAGUGGGGAAUUUUGGACAAUGGGCGAAAGCCUGAUCCAGCCAUGCCGCGUGCAGGAUGAAGGCCUUCGGGUUGUAAACUGCUUUUGUACGGAACGAAAAGGUUUGGCCUAAUAAGCUGAGCUCAUGACGGUACCGUAAGAAUAAGCACUGGCUAACUACGUGCCAGCCGCCGCGGUAA
rnacentral:rRNA from 1 species